UACCAGCUCUCCGAGUGGUAGGGAUGAUUAUUGGGCUUAAAGCGUCCGUAGCCGGCUUAGCAAGUUUCCUGUUAAACCCAGCGACUCAAUCGUUGGAUCGCGGGAAAUACUACUAGGCUAGGAGGCGGGAGAGGUCAACGGUACUUCUGGGGUAGGGGUGAAAUCCUAUAAUCCCGGGAGGACCACCAGUGGCGAAGGCUGUUGACUAGAACGCGCUCGACGGUGAGGGACGAAAGCUGGGGUAGCAAACCGGAUUAGAUACCCGGGUAGUCCCAGCUGUAAACGAUGCGAGCUAGGUGUUGGGAUGGCUACGGGCCAUUUCAGUGCCGCAGGGAAGCCAUUAAGCUCGCCGCCUGGGGAGUACGGCCGCAAGGCUGAAACUUAAAGGAAUUGGCGGGGAGCACCACAAGGCGUGAAGCUUGCGGUUC
rnacentral:rRNA from 1 species